UGUUGAAAAUUUUUUCCAUUUCUAUUAUUAAAAACUGGUUUAGCUGACGAAAUAACUAAACAGUUACAUGUGGCGUGCCACAUAUACCUCAUGUUUUUAAAAGUAAAAAUGGAUGAAAUUUUUAACA
rfam:Gossypium arboreum cultivar AKA8401 contig_248_5, whole genome shotgun sequence.